rnacentral:rRNA from 1 species
AUUGAACGCUGGCGGAAGGCCUAACACAUGCACGUCGAACGAUCGUCGGACGGGUGAGUAAUGUAUGAGGACUGACCGAUAGAGGGGGAUACAUCCUGGAAACGGUAGCUAAUAACGCAUCCUAUCUGAUAACCCAUAUGGGAGUCGCUAGUAGUUGAGGUAAUGGCUCACCUAGGCGACGAUCCCUAGCUGUGCUGAUAGGAUGAUCAGCCACACCGUGACUGAGACACGGCCCAGACUCCUACGGAGGCAGCAGUGGGGAAUAGUGCACAAUGGGCGCAAGCCUGAUGCAGCCAGCCCGCUUGUAUGAUGAAGGCCUUCGGGUUGUAAAGUACUGUUGGCAGAGAAGCGGUAUCUGCAGAAUAAGCACCGGCUAACUACGUGCCAGCAGCCGCGGUAAUUC